UCUGUGGUGGAUAGUGGAGUGUUUCCCAUGUGGUAUUGGUGUACUGGAUAUCCCUUCACUGUUAUCCUGGUAACAUACAGUACCAGGUCUUUCUCUGCCUCUGUGGUGGAUAGUGGAGUGUUUCCCAUGUGGUAUUGGUGUGCUGGAUAUCCCUUCACUGUUAUCCUGGUAACAUACAGUCCCAGGUCUUUCUCUGCCUCUGUGGUGGAUAGUGGAGUGUUUCCCAUGUGGUAUUGGUAUACUGGAUAUCCCUUCACUGUUAUCCUGGUAACAUACAGUCCCAGGUCUUUCUCUGCCUCUGUGGUGGAUAGUGGAGCAUUUCCCAUGUGGUAUUGGUGUACUGGAUAUCCCUUCACUGUUAUCCUGGUAACAUACAGUCCCAGGUCUUUCUCUGCCUCUGUGGUGGAUAGUGGAGCAUUUCCCAUGUGGUAUUGGUGUACUGGAUAUCCCUUCACUGUUAUCCUGGUAACAUACAGUCCCAGGUCUUUCUCUGCCUCUGUGGUGGAUAGUGGAGCAUUUCCCAUGUGGUAUUGGUGUACUGGAUAUCCCUUCACUGUUAUCCUGGUAACAUACAGUACCAGGUCUUUCUCUGCCUCUGUGGUGGGUA